AAUGGAAGUUGCCACUCAAAUCCGGCAACAGUGGACAGGUGAGAGACCGAGGCCCAGAGAGGGCAUGGGGCUUGGCAAACCCACACAGCUCACUGCUGGGAUCUGGAGCUAAAACUCAGGCCUGCCAGUGAAAGAAAACAAGCAACCUCCUCCGUAGACACCUGGACAGCUUCAAGGGCAGAGUUUCUGGGAAACACCCUACCACAAACACCGAAAAUCCUGGCGGCACUAGAGAAGAGCCUCUGGCAGAAAGCUGGGCUCACUUCCCCAUUCCAGCUGUACUGAUAAAGCUAAUAAAAGCCUUUUGCAACUGAGUGGGAGCUGAGCUGACACCUGGUCAGUCAGUCUCCAUUCCACUUUUCCCCUCUAUUAAAUCAAGUCAUUCCUUGUUUCUGGA